GGGCUACUGAGUACUUAAAAUGUGUGGCUUGAGUGACUGAGAAAUUGAAUUUUAAAUUUUAUUUAAUUUUAAUUUAAACUUGAAUAGCUACAUGUGACUAGUGGCUACUAUUGGACAACACCAUUCUAGAAAGAUCAUUUGGAGGUAUGGGAGACUGAAGGGAGGAACACAGAAGGUAUCCCUCCCAGAUGAAAAGUGAGCACAGCCUGAACUAAAACCUAGGCAGUAGUAAUAAUGGUUGGUGGAGAGAUUAGAGAGAUAUGUCAAAUGUAGUACUAGGAGGGUUUGAUUGAUUGAACUUAGGUGUGGUCAAGUCUAGGAUGAAUCUCGGUUUCUCACUUGGGUGACUGGAUGGUGCCAUUCAUCAAGCAAAAGGAGCAGAGUUUAAAAACUUGACUGAGAGAAAAAGAGAAGACCACGGGAUAAAGGGGAGCACAAAGGCAAAAGAUAGGACGCCUACCACAGCAUGGCUUGCCAAGCGGUGCCAUGUCCGCACCCGGGAUCCAAACCAGCGAACCCCAGGCCACCGAGAAGUGGAUCAUGAGAACUUAACCGCUACGCCACCAGGCCGGCCCCGGAUCUGGGACUUUUUAAGACACGGAAAAAUGUUUUUGUUAUAAUGUUGACUAAAAUAAGAAUAUGAUUUCAAUGACAAAAAAAAAAGGAAAUAAACUGAAAAAUGUCAUUAUUUUCCCCAUGUAUACAGCAGAAAUUAUUUGAUCUCUAGACAUUAUGCAAUCAUGGUAGUUGGUGGUUAGGGUGAGAAUAA
rnacentral:lncRNA from 1 species